ACAGGCUGCCCCGCAUGGAAGCAGAGAAAGGUGGGGUGCGGUGGGAAGAUGCUGAGAGACUGCCAAGCUCAGCUACACUAGGGCUGUGGGAGGCCCAGAGAGGGUCGGAAGGGGUACAGGGUUACACAGCUCCAGAUACUUCUGUUGGGGUUCCCGGACGUGGCUGGGGACUGCGGACCCAGCACUGACCCCAGAUGGGGGCAAGUUGGGCCUUGGCUCUGAGCCUGGUGCCCCAAGCGCUUCCCAAUUCUGAGUCCCCAAAAUACUCUUCCUGUGAGUCCAAAGGCCUCAGGGCUGCUUCCCUGUCAGUUCUGAGAUGAGCUGUGUCUCCCUGAGGGUGGUUUGGGGUGGGCAGAGGAUAGGAGAAGGCCUGCAGCUGGGGGUCAGGGCCCUGGUUCAGGGAGGAGAGGGGCCACAACCAGGUCUUCCUCACUGUCACCAACUUGGAUAUGCUCUCUGGCUCUCCCUGAAACCUGAACAUCUGGACUCUACUGUGCCUUAGCUUCUAAAUCUCUUCUCCAUUACCAUCUCAAGAGUGUCAGAGACCUGCAAAAUCGGCGUUUGAACCAUCUCCCACGUUGAAAUCACAAGGCAAGAGCUGCCACGGUCACACAGCGAGUACGGAGCUAGAGCGGGAACCCUGGUUCGGGACACUAACAUUCUGGACUCUACUCCCAAGACGGUACUGGGGCGUCUGAGAGUUUCUAUGCUGCAGGUGAGGAAACUGAGACCCAGAGAGAGCAAAUGAAAUGCCCAAGUUCACAAAGGGUGGGCAGGAGGAAGACCUCUGGAAGAUGAACCUGUCAUUGGAGCCUGGCCCCAAUAUGCCCUUGGUGAAAAAUAUUAAGACACCCUAAAGCAGGGGUCCCCAACCCCCGGGCCACGGACUGCUACUGGUCCGUGGCCUUUUAGGAACCUGGCCAACACGGCAGGAGGUUAGAACUGACCUGGUAGAUAUAUUUUGCAUGGUCCUUCUCAAGAUGUCUCCAAAGACAUUCUCCAUCUUGUGAUGAGUCUUCAUUCUAAAGUAGACAUGAGAGAGGCU